rnacentral:ribozyme from 13 species
AAAUACACACAUACACACAGACAGACAGAUAUAUAUGAUGAAAAAAGUAAAGAGACCACUCCACUCACCACUUAAACUUUCUUUCCUCAUUAUGCUUCUUAUCCUCUUUCUUCUUCUUCUUCU